rnacentral:rRNA from 1 species
AUGGCAGUUGUGUUAGCAGUCAUCCUUAUUGGUCUGGUUCUUUUGCGGGUAAUGGGAAAACAGAAGUUUUGUACGGCGGAUACACCAGUGAAUUCCAAUAGCGGCCUCACGAUCUUCUCGGAUACUCAGAUAAAGAGAGCAACUAGAAAUUUCUCGGAGAAACUUGGAGAAGGAGGCUUCGGCUGUGUUUUCAAGGGGACAUUGCAAGGUUCCUCGGUGGUGGCCGUCAAAAAGCUUAAAGACAUCAGACAAGGGGAGAAGCAAUUCCGAGCAGAAGUGCAAACAACUGGAAUCAUCCAGCACAUCAAUCUUGUUCGUUUAUAUGGUUUUUGUGGCGAGGGAAGUAAGAGGUUGCUGAUAUACGAGUACAUGGAGAACGGAUCUUUGAGUUCCCAUCUGUUUUCAAGGACUUCUGUAAAGCUAAUCUGGGAGCUCCGGUACCGUAUAGCACUUGGGACUGCAAGAGGCUUGCCUUAUCUGCACGAGGAAUGCAAGGACUGCAUUAUACACUGCGACAUGAAGCCGGACAAUGUGCUCCUUGAUGCACAUUUCUGUCCUAAGAUUGCAGACUUCGGUAUGGCGAAGCUUCUUGGUCGAGAUUCCAGCAAGGCCCUGACAACAAUGCGGGGAACCAUCGGAUACCUUGCACCGGAGUGGAUCUCGGGGCUUCCCAUCACACCCAAAUCUGAUGUUUACAGCUACGGAAUGACGCUUCUUGAGAUUAUAUCAGGGCGAAGGAAUGCAGAGAAAAUUAAGGAAGGGAGGUUCACUUACUUUCCCAUCUUUGCUGCAGUCAAGGUGGCCGAAGGAGAUGUCAUGUGCCUGCUGGAUAGUUGGCUGGAUGGCUAUGCCGAUGUCGAGCAGCUGAGCAGAGCUUGCAAGAUCGCAUGCUGGUGCAUCCAAGAUGAUGAGGAUCACAGGCCAAUGAUGGGGCAAGUCGUUCGCAUGCUAGAGGGUGUCAUGGAUGUUGAAGUACCCCCUGUUCCGAGGUCAUUGCAGAAUUUUGUAGGCAUGGAGGAUUGA